CCUCUAUCUUGCACUAAGCUUUUAUCGCUUUUUUAAUAGUGUAACUUUUGUAAGUCCUUUAAUUCCAAUUUUUGAAAUAAGUUUCUUUUAUUAGUUCUUAUGCUUUGGUUAUCAAUCUAUGGGGACCUUUUUUGUCUUUUGUACCUUCAGGGCAUAUUAGACUUUAGUUGUACAUAGUCUGGAAUUUUGGGUUACCCCCAUUUGUAGGUCCCUAAGCACGAAUACAAGUUCUCUAAGUGGAG